GAUGAAGAACGUAGCGAAAUGCGAUACGUAAUGUGAAUUGCAGAAUUCAGUGAAUCAUCGAAUCUUUGAACGCAUAUUGCGCUCUCUGGUAUUCCGGAGAGCAUGCUUGUUUGAGUAUCAGUAAACACCUCAACUUCCAUAUCUUUUUUUGAAAUGGGAGGUGGACUUGAGUGAUCCCAACGCUUUUCCUCACCGAAAAGUGGCGGGUUACUUGAAAUGCAGGUGCAGCUGGACUUUUCUCUGAGCUAUAAGCAUAUCUAUUUAGUCUGCCUAAAAAACAGAUUAUUACCUUUGCUGCAGCUAACAUAAAGGAGAUUAGUUCUUGUGCUGACUGAUGCAGGAUUCACAAAGACAGCUUCGGCCGACUUUGUAAACUCGAUCUCAAAUCAAGUAAGACUACCCGCUGAACUUAAGCAUAUCAAUAAGCGGAGGA
rnacentral:misc_RNA from 1 species